rnacentral:rRNA from 1 species
GACGAACGCUGGCGGCGUGCUUAACACAUGCAAGUCGAACGGAAAGGCCCUGCGUUUGUGGGGUGCUCGAGUGGCGAACGGGUGAGUAACACGUGAGUAACCUGCCCUUGACUUUGGGAUAACUUCAGGAAACUGGGGCUAAUACCGGAUAGGAGCUCCUGCUGCAUGGUGGGGGUUGGAAAGUUUCGGCGGUUGGGGAUGGACUCGCGGCUUAUCAGCUUGUUGGUGGGGUAGUGGCUUACCAAGGCUUUGACGGGUAGCCGGCCUGAGAGGGUGACCGGCCACAUGGGGACUGAGGUACGGCGCAGAGUCCUACGGGAGGCAGCAGUGGGGAAUAUUGCACAAUGGGCGGAAGCCUGAUGCAGCAACGCCGCGUGCGGGAUGACGGCCUUCGGGUUGUAAACCGCUUUCGCCUGUGACGAAGCGUGAGUGACGGUAAUGGGUAAAGAAGCACCGGCUAACUACGUG